GAUAAGGACACAUUUCUUGUUUCACAUGUAUGUUUAAAUAUUCAUGAGGUGUUUUGCUUUGACCAUUUGUGUUUGAAUGUAGGUGUGUAGAGGGCGAGAUA